GACCUCCUUCCCUCCCCUGCUUCCAUCCCGUUUCACCCCUCUGCUCUCUUCAAACAAUCCUCUUUGCAAAGUGUUAACCCCAAUAAGGAGUCAGAGUUGAGCAAACAGUGAGCUGUUGACAAAAAAAGCACUCCCUUCCCUUCACUCUCCCCGUACCAUAACGACAACAACAACAGAUCCUACCAGGUGGAGAAGGGAAUUUGUGUGGCUGCUCCCGUUAAAAGGUGGUCCGUGCACCGCUGCUUGAAUUUCCCAGGAAAAAGAGAAGGAAUCGGGAGAAAUGGAAUCCCAAAGGAUCCAGUCUCUCCAAUAAUGACAAAUGAUUUUGUUUGGGACAGCGAUUCUGAGAAAGACUAGAUUUCUACGUCUACUACAUUAAUCGAGGACUCAAAUGAUCCGUAGCCCCAUUCACUGAAACAAAGCUAUAGAGCCUGAAAAACCGCUGUGGUCCCGGAAGCAGUAAUGUCUGAAUGGAGGUGAAAAGGUCAGACGAGGGCAGGAUCCAAAGUGAUUUUAAGUAGUUCAGCUAAGUACUAAGGGCUAAUGGGAAACCAUUUUAAUUUACUGUAGUCAUCCCCAGUGAAUAAAGAAGACAGUAUUUCUUUAGAGCAACUUGAUUAUGAAGCAGUAAACCCCUUUUG
rnacentral:lncRNA from 1 species